UACGUAGGGGGGCAAGCGUUGUCCGGAUUUAUUGGGCGUAAAGAGCGUGUAGGCGGCUAGAUAGGUCCGUUGUGAAAACUCGAGGCUCAACCUCGAGACGUCGAUGGAAACCAUCUGGCUAGAGUCCGGAAGAGGAGAGUGGAAUUCCUGGUGUGAGCGGUGAAAUGCGCAGAUAUCAGGAAGAACACCGACGGCGAAGGCAGCUCGCUGGGACGGUACUGACGCUGAGGCGCGAAAGCGUGGGGAGCAAACAGG
rnacentral:rRNA from 1 species